rnacentral:misc_RNA from 1 species
UGGAUAGUUAAAUCUUAGGGAUAUUUUUUUAUGAGAAACAAUGUAAAUAGGUUGUUUGAGUAUCUGGAAGCAAAAGUAGAAGGUAGCUUGUAGAAGAUGUCUUUUUUAAUUAUGUGAUAUGUUGAGUAUAUCAUAACAUGAAAUGAAGGAUUGGAUUUUAAAAAGGGAUAUAUACAGUGUUAUUAAAGCCACGCCUCAAGGCACACCUGGUGCGAAGAGUGAGGUCAGCCCACCAAUUGCAGA